rnacentral:lncRNA from 1 species
GAAACGCCUGUGGAUUGACGUCAUCCAAAAAGAAGGCGACCGUUUUCCCUCCUUCCAAACAGAAAAUGCAGCUUUCGAAACUAAUAAACCCCUUAAAGUUCAUGAGCCCACUUCAACCUUUUUAAAUGUCUAGUUUUUGAAGAGAAAAGGAAAAAGAAGAGGCAAUAACUGCAUCUGAGGCUGUUUCACUGCAGGAGAGAGAAGCUCUCAGAGAAUGACUCUAUCCCUCCCCCUACCAAGGUCCAAGCUCCAAGCUCCAAGCUCCAAGGUCACAGUCAUGAACCCAAAGGAAGAAAGACCUCGAUCUGGGGACCUGUCUCAGAAGCCCAGGUGGGAAGGAGAAACUGACUGAACGUGCUGGAGGGAGGGAUAUAGCGGAAGGGGUAGGUUCUGAAGGAGGUGAGAAUCCAGGGAUCAAAAUCAAAUAGGAGGGAUUGGGUUCUGACUCCACAGCUGGGAACAUGAGAGGAAUAGCAGAGAGGGGAGACCCUCUGGGGAUACAGCCUCAGCCUCAGCUGCCUUCUCUAUAAGCAUGAACUGAAUGUGGAGGUAACCACGGAGUUCUAGAUGGUUGGGAGGGCUUGAAGGGCGCCAUGAAGGACUCUAAAGGAAUCAAUAAAAGACAGGAAUCAGGGCUGACCCUAUCACCGAUGGUUUGGGACAUCCACAUGGAGCAGGGGCUCUAUCCAGUAACUCCUAGGGUGGAGUCAAUGUCCCCCGUCUUCUCCUCAGAGGACUCUGGCUGAUCAUCUGCUCAGGCAUUAGGUUCAUUCUGCUUCCAGCUUUGAGCCAAACACACAGUAGAGAGAUAUGUGGAAGUCUAGAGUGGAAUCUGCUCAGUGAAUAAAUGGAUGGGUGAGUUAGCU